AACGCACGAGACCUGCGGACCUGCGGAAGGAUCAUUACCGAGUUAUCCAACUCCCAACCCCUGUGAAUCAUACCUUUAAUUGUUGCUUCGGCGGGACUUCGCGCCCGCCGGGGACCCAAACCUUCUGAAUUUUUUAAUAAGUAUCUUCUGAGUGGUUAAAAAAAAUGAAUCAAAACUUUUAACAACGGAUCUCU
rnacentral:misc_RNA from 1 species